rnacentral:rRNA from 1 species
AUGCACUUUCUAGGAAAUUUUCUCUCAACUCUAUGUCCCAAGUUACUCCAGUUUGGGCACAAGAUAAAGCUACAGAACAAUGAGGAACAUCAGGAUUACACCCUUUCUUCUGGAAUCCUGAGAUAUCAAGGAAAAAUAGUUGUGGGGCACGAUAAUCAACUCAGGCAGAAACUACUCAAUGCUCUCCACUCUUCCCCUGUAGGAGGUCACUCUGGCAUGCGAGCUACAUAUCAUAGAAUCAAAGGAAUCUUCUAUUGGCCUGGCCUCAAGAAGGAUACUGCAACAUUUGUAGCUCACUGCCCUAUCUGCCAAAGAUCCAAACAUGAACAGUGCCUUUCUCCUGGUCUGCUAGAACCACUACCCGUCCCUGACAUGGCCUGGGCUCAUGUUUCCAUGGACUUCAUAGAAGGGCUACCAAAAUCACAGGGCAUGGAAGUCAUAUUAGUUGUAGUGGACAAGUUUACUAAAUAUAUGCCCACUAUAUUCCUCUGCCUCACCCUUAUUCAGUUCAAACAGUGGCCCAAGCUUUUAUUGACAACGUCAUUAAGUUGCAUGGUCCUCCAAGGCUCAUUAUCUCAGAUAGGGACAGGAUCUUUACUGGUAAACUGUGGAAAGACAUUUUCCAAGCACUCAAAGUGGAGCUGCGAUAUAGUUCAUCUUACCACCCACAGACUGAUGGGCAAACAGAGAGAUUGA